UCUUUUUCGCCUCUCUAUCUGUAGUCGUCGUCGUCUAUACUUGACACACAACAACCACAAAAAGCCUUCGCAUUCAUGAUUCCUUCACGCAUGCGAUGAUGCAAUGAAAAAUUGUGGUUUGGGGUUCGGUCGAAAUUACUCUGCGCAAAAAAAACCCUAAUUCAUGGCAGUUUCUCUGACUUUGCCCGAGCUAUUUUUACUAUCUCCACAAAAAACUCCCACACACCGGCUUUUUCUCUCUAAAACUUCCCUUUCUAGAGGCCUUAGGCGCAGUCUCGAUGUUCGGACUCGUAUUAGGGCCGUGAGUAAGGAAGGUGCGCUGGUCGAAGAUAGAGAGAGACAGUUGAUCAAGGAAUUGAACAAGGGAAAUGGAGCUGCUAGUGCUAUUACCGGUGAUUCUAGGUACGGUGUGCCGGUUGAGAGCUCCUCGAAUGGCAGUGUGGGCGUGUCUGCGCCAGGAAAUGGGAGCUUGGUGAAGUAUGUGAACGGGAAUGGCGUGACCGCGGGGGAGUUGGUGGAGGAGGUUGAAGAUCCGGCGUCGAAGGAGGAAGGGAGGAAGAGAAGGAUAGAGGAGAUUGGUAAAGAAGAUGCGUGGUUCAAGCGAAUCGGGAAAGAAUCCAUUGAGGUUUCUGUUGCACCUGGUGGCCGCUGGAGUAGAUUUAAAACCUACUCAACAAUACAGAGGACCUUGGAAAUAUGGGGAUUCGUACUGACAUUUAUCUUUAAGGCUUGGCUGAACAAUCAAAAGUUUUCUUAUCGAGGAGGAAUGACAGAAAAGAAGAAAGCUUCAAGGCGGCAGGCUCUUGCCAAGUGGCUUAAAGAAAGUAUUUUGAGAUUAGGUCCUACAUUCAUCAAAAUUGGCCAGCAGUUCUCGACGAGGGUGGACAUUCUUGCUCAAGAAUAUGUUGAUCAGUUGUCAGAACUUCAGGACCAAGUUCCACCCUUCCCUUCGGAGACUGCUUUGUCUAUAGUUGAAGAACAACUUGGAGCUCCUUUGAAUGACAUUUUUGAUCGUUUUGACUAUGAACCAAUAGCUGCUGCUAGUCUUGGUCAGGUUCAUCGUGCAAGAUUGAAGGGAGAGGAAGUUGUUGUUAAAGUACAAAGGCCUGGUCUCAAGGAUCUUUUUGACAUUGACCUUAAAAACCUGAGGGUAAUCGCAGAAUAUCUCCAAAAGGUUGACCCAAAGUCAGAUGGCGCGAAGAGGGAUUGGGUUGCUAUCUAUGAUGAGUGUGCUAGUGUCUUAUAUCAGGAGAUUGAUUACACCAAGGAAGCUGCAAAUGCAGAACUAUUUGCAAGUAACUUCAAAAAUAUGGAUUAUGUGAAAGUUCCAUCAAUAUUUUGGGAGUAUACGACACCACAGGUUUUGACAAUGGAGUAUGUUCCAGGGAUCAAGAUAAACAAGAUACAAGCUUUGGAUCAGCUGGGUGUUGAUCGCCAAAGGUUGGGUCGCUAUGCUGUUGAAUCGUACUUGGAACAAAUUCUGUCUCAUGGUUUUUUCCAUGCUGAUCCUCAUCCCGGAAACAUUGCGGUUGAUGAUGUCAAUGGUGGAAGGUUGAUUUUUUAUGAUUUUGGAAUGAUGGGAAGUAUCAGUAAAAAUAUAAGAGAAGGUUUGCUUGAAACAUUCUACGGAGUUUAUGAAAAAAAUCCAGAUAAGGUCCUUCAGGCAAUGAUUCAAAUGGGAGUUCUUGUGCCAACUGGAGAUAUGACUGCUGUCAGACGAACAGCACUGUUUUUCCUCAACAGUUUUGAAGAGCGGCUUGCUGCACAAAGAAAAGAAAGAGAGCUAGCAACAAUAGAGCCUGGGUUUAAAAAGCCAUUGAGCAAGGAGGAAAGAGUAAUGAAAAAGAAACAAAGGCUGGCUGCAAUUGGGGAAGAUUUGUUAGCCAUUGCAGCAGAUCAACCUUUUCGAUUUCCUGCCACAUUCACAUUUGUUGUUAGAGCAUUUUCAGUUUUGGAUGGCAUUGGGAAGGGCCUUGACCCUCGAUUUGAUAUCACUGAGAUUGCCAAGCCCUAUGCACUGGAGUUGUUAAAGUUUAAGGAAGCUGGAGUUGAAGUUAUCCUGAAGGAUGUCAGAAAGAGAUGGGAUAGACAAUCCCGUGCAUUCUACAACUUAUUCAGACAGGCCGACAGAGUUGAAAAGCUUGCAGAAAUUAUCCAACGAUUGGAGCAAGGUGAUCUGAAACUUCGAGUUCGCACAUUAGAGUCUGAGCGGGCAUUCCAGCGUGUUGCAGCUGUUCAGAGGACAAUAGGGAAUGCAGUAGCAGCUGGGAGCCUGAUAAACCUUGCAACAAUUUUGUAUUUAAACUCCAUAAGAGUGCCUGCAACUAUAGCAUAUGCCUUCUGUGCACUUUUUGGCUUUCAAGUUCUAUUUGGUAUUAUAAAGGUCAGAAAACUAGACGAACAGGAAAGGUUGGUGACAGGAACUGCUUAGGCAACUGCAUAUUGGAAGUACCUGGAAGUACCUGGACGGAAUGGAAGAAUGUGAAUACACAUGGGAUAAUGGCCUUAUGGGAGAAGUUUGUGUAUACAGACCAUACCAUAUGUAGAGUGGAGACCCAGCUCAUAUAAGGUUCUCUGAUUACCCAAGUCAGCUGUUCAAUCGACAGAAGAACGUUAGCUUAAAGGAGCAUAUCAUGAAGGUUUAUGUUACCAUCAGUACAAGCUAGAACUUCCGACUUCUUGAUUUAUGUUAAAAUAGGAAAAACCGAAGGCUGAACAUUUGCGCUUUAUUCUUCAAAUGCUUACUUAUAGGGAGAUUCAAAAUUGUAAUUAGGUCAGCUAAAGCCGAUGGGCAUAAAUGACAGCUUUCAGCCCCAAUGAGUUAAAUUUGUAACAAUUUCAAUGGUAGAUGUUGGCAUUGAAGCCCCCCAUCAUAUUUUACAGGAUGGAUAUCUACUGACUACCAGUGUUAUAUAAUUUUGUAAGAUAAGAAAAUGAUUCAAUAAAAUGUGCGCCCCCCCUUUUUUGUUGAUUCAA